UCGACGGUAUACUAAAGGCGCGGGGCCGCUACUCAGUUAGCGUUCGGCCCGUAGCAAGCACGUUCUGCGUUUGACGGCAAUCGGACCUAGCSCCGAUUCUGUCCCGGAACGACUGUUGGUUGCGGUGUUCUCGAACAGACCUCGU
rnacentral:rRNA from 1 species